ensembl:snRNA U1 U1 spliceosomal RNA
UUACUUAAAUGGCAGGGGAGAUACCACGAUUAGGCAGGUGGUUUUCCCAGGGUGAGGCUCAUCCCCUGCACUUUGGGUGUGCUAAUCCCGCAAAUUCUGCUAAUUUCUGCAAAUGAGGGAAACUUGACUGCGUAAUUUCUGGUAGUGGAGGAAUGUGUUCACACUCUCCCCCC